rnacentral:lncRNA from 1 species
CCGAGUCGCUGUGAUUACAGGGGCGCCUCUGCACCCAGCACAAGUUAAUUAUAUUUCAAUAAAGCUUAUAAACGAUUCUAAAAGAGCUGACAUCUCAUUUUCCAGGUGGCAAAGCAGAGGCAGUCUGGAGGACAGGGGGAGGGCCUGCUGACCAGUGUCUGGGCUUGUGAUUGCUCCAGAAGGGUUAAUAACCGGCCAGAGCUGGUUCACCUACUCAUUGGACCCCAGCUCUCCCGGGAAGGGAUACUGUAAGGCAAGGAUCUGAUGGAGGCUCAGAGGUGUGAUCCAAAGGCCAGGGUGGCCCAAGGGAAAGCGAGCCCUCUAAGCCUAUGAGCAAGUGCUCAGGUAGCUUACAGCUCCGUGUAUGGGGUCUGGGGACAGGACCACGGGGGUCCGGGUGUGACUCGGG